ACUUUCGCUAUUUGAAGACAUUAGGAAGUUAUGUGGUGGCUCCGUACCCUCCUUUCUCCAUCCGAGGCCGGGGUCCUAAAGUCGGUGUCACGGUGGCAGCACCCAGCGUUUUGUUGGCUCUUUCGCCAGCAGCGCCGAGCGGGGGGUUUUCUGUCACAGCACUUGUUGCACCGAAUUUCUCGGUCGCAGAACCUCUCUUUUCCGAGGGUCGACAUUUUCUGCGUGACAACACCGUUGGUUCCGCCAAAAUGGAUGUUGUCCUUGGGAACUCCUCCGGCUGGCGUCACUCUUAGGGUCCCAGCACCGCCAUUUCGCCAAGCCGAGUUCUCUUGGUCGCGGCACAUCUUGUUCCUCGGUGCCUCCAUUUUCUCGGUGGCGGCAGCGCUCUGGUAGCCGAUCUGAGGGAUUUGGAAUCGCAGCCAGUUGCGCAGAGUCUGGGGUUCCCGGGCGACGCCGGCGCUGGGCGGGGGAGCCCGCCGCUCCUCCGAGCCAGAGGCAGAGGAGCUGCGCGGACGCCGUCUCUUCACAGCGCCGCGAGCGCCGACGCACGGGUUCCUGCUCGGCCUCCUGAACCCAGUCCCCCGGCGGCGCCGCUGGCGUCUCUAUCGCAGGCCCCUGCGGUUUCGCCCGUCGUUGGCUUCUUGGUCCUAGCAAGUUUCGAUUUCGCGGUGCCCGCUAUUUCUACCUCUUGUCCAAAUAACUAGCCAAAAUGUGAUUUCUCAGCCUAAGCAAGUCCCGAUUUAGGGCAUCGGUCUAGCCCUGGCUGCGAUUUCUUGGUCCUAGGAAGUCACUGUUUAGCUGUAGCAAGGCAGACUUAACCGUGCGAUGGUGACUUUUCUUUUUCUUUGGUUCUUUUUCUUUUCUCUUUCUUUCUUGAUACGGGGUCCGGCUCUGUCGCCCAGGCUGGAGUGCAGUGCCGCGAUCUCGGCUCACUGCAACCUCCGCCUCCCGGGCUGAAGCGAUCCUCCCACCCCAGCCUCCGGGGUAGCUGGGACCACAGGCACGCGCCACCACGCCCGGGUAAUUUUUUGUAUCCUUCCUAGAGACAGGAUUUCGCCAUGUUGCCUGGGCUGGUCUCAAACUCCUGAUUUCUUAGUCUGACCAAGUCAGAGUUUAGUUAUUUCUUACCGUAGCAAGUUGAGAGUUAUUCCAGUUUGCGAUUUCUGGUUGUAACAAUUCUGGCUUUAACCAUGCCUACAUAAUUUUAGUAGUAGCAAAUUCCUGUUCCGUAAUAGGAGCCCCCAUUAUAGCCAUGCGUGCGGUUUAUAACUCCUGUAUUAAUCUAGGUACUGAAGAAUGCAAUUUAAAAAAAUUUAGCAGUGUCUGGAAUUUUUAAAUCAUACCAAGUUAGAAUUCGCAAUAGUCUCGCCCUGGCUAUGCUGGCGAUUUUUCACUCAUGUAGAAGUUGGGGUACGUCGGCUACAGAUAAUUGUUGGUGUCGCAAAUACCGGUUUAACCAUGGCUGUUUCUUCUUAAUCCGAGGAAACUUCGGAUAGGCGCAAGAGGCACGGGUUUAGUGCUGACAAAUAUAAUGGUAGGAUCUCACCAUUCGACCCUGUUUGCAAUUUCUUUCUGUUUGUAGGAUGCUUUGUAUGUUUUGUAUACUCAAAAAAAAAAAUUUUUUUUUGGUGUAUCUUGUUCUGGCAGCGAGGUUAUCAGUGUAUUUUGUUUUAAUUUCUAUUUGCUUUUAAAUUUUUAAUUAUUUUUUAAUUUAAAUGUUACGGUAUUUUUUUCUUACCCACUGUCUUCCCCGGUAGAAUAAAUGUGGCGUAUUUCUUCUACUGAAAAAAAAAAAA
rnacentral:lncRNA from 1 species